CUAUCGUCCCUGUAGCCCAACCACUUUCCUGCGGGCAGUUCUCCCCACACUUAUGCGUGUGGUACAGUACAAUAAUACAGCAGGAGAGUGGAGGCAGGGCUGACUGUCUGUCCGUUAGACUUUGUCUCCACGCUUCACGCAGGAUCCCGUGGCUUCUGAGCUCUUUGUCUCGUGGUUGAUUAUCAGUCCUCUAGCCACUGACGGCUAUCAGCUCAGCAUGACAGUCUAAUGAAUAAUCGGACGGCCCGAGCUUGGUGGCUGAUUCGGCCGCAGUUCGGAUUUUCACACUUUUUCAACAUUCCAGAUUCUCAAAUAAUAAAGCCGGUGACCGAAGAGUGUGGCGCGGCGUCAACCGCAAUCCUCGUUCACUCUUUUUCCUCAUCCUCAUUCACAGUACUCCCAGCCAGUGAAAAAGAAUCAUAAUACUCACCCAUAUUACUGGCCACCAUUCAAUCAAAGUUCUACACCGGUGAUUCGAAUAUCUGCGAUUAGCUUUCAUGCCUCAAGCAUCCCCAAAAGAUCUUUCUGAAACGUAUUUUUGGCCGUCGGUUCAUUCAGACCAGCUGUGUGUAGUCCAUCGACAUCCUAUGGGGUCCCCUUUCUCAGUUUUCGCCCUGUGUUUGCCAGUCUACAAGCUUAGUCUACAAGCUUACCUCCCUUAAGAUUGUCUCUACUUCCGCCCUCUUCAUUCUCUCCGCCAAUGCCACGAUUUCAUCGCGGAACCCACCAUACUGAAUAUAUACCUUCACCCCUUCUUCCCCCAAAUAUGACCAGCUUUUGCUCUCAGCGUUGGCAGGAGAAAACCACUCGGUCUUCAAAGCGGCAGGAAUAAAGUAUCUCAUAGCCGAGUUGACUGCCGUCCUCAACCGCGGUGGGCAGAGCGUAUCAUAAUCCUUAUUCGACUUGUAAGACGGGUAUGACAUCGAUAAAUCUGCCCAAGGAGACGCAAGUGCGAUGUACCCUGGUUGAGGGAGAGAGAGAUGGCGGAGGUAUCGUGAGAGGAGAAGAGCGAGGUGACCACCAGCAGACUCUGCGAGGAGGAGGAUUGAUGAACCUGGAUAGGUCUGAGUGAGGUAGAGAUAGGCUGAUAAGGCGUCGUAGAGAGGAGCAGGAAAGGCACUCGAGGAUUCUAAUGUUUUGCGGUAGCAUACACCUGGUAUUGCUCAGCAAGCCUUUGCUUAGAAAUGACUAGGCUCACUGAGACAUGGCUUCCCCGUGGCUCUGGCGAUAUCCACAGGGAAGCUCGUCCAUAGUGGAUGUCCCCUAAUGUAUCCUCUACUUGGAUCAGUAUGUACAAGUCAAAGGAGACGAAACUUACCCUCCAUGUAUAUGCAGUAUAACUCGCGCUUUUGUU
rnacentral:sRNA from 1 species